GCUCCGGUGGCCUAGUGGUUAGAGCAUUUGCCUCGGAUGCGGGAGGUCGUAGGUUUGAUCCCCAGUCGAUGAA